rnacentral:rRNA from 1 species
GACGAACGCUGGCGGCGUGCUUAACACAUGCAAGUCGAACGGAAAGGCCCUGCUUUUGUGGGGUGCUCGAGUGGCGAACGGGUGAGUAACACGUGAGUAACCUGCCCUUGACUUUGGGAUAACUUCAGGAAACUGGGGCUAAUACCGGAUAGGAGCUCCUGCUGCAUGGUGGGGGUUGGAAAGUUUCGGCGGUUGGGGAUGGACUCGCGGCUUAUCAGCUUGUUGGUGGGGUAGUGGCUUACCAGGGCUUUGACGGGUAGCCGGCCUGAGAGGGUGACCGGCCACAUUGGGACUGAGAUACGGCCCAGACUCCUACGGGAGGCAGCAGUGGGGAAUAUUGCACGAUGGGCGGAAGCCUGAUGCAGCAACGCCGCGUGCGGGAUGACGGCCUUCGGGUUGUAAACCGCUUUCGCCUGUGACGAAGCGUGAGUGACGGUAAUGGGUAAAGAAGCACCGGCUAACUACGUGCCAGCAGCCGCGGUGAUACGUAGGGUGCGAGCGUUGUCCGGAUUUAUUGGGCGUAAAGGGCUCGUAGGUGGUUGAUCGCGUCGGAAGUGUAAUCUUGGGGCUUAACCCUGAGCGUGCUUUCGAUACGGGUUGACUUGAGGAAGGUAGGGGAGAAUGGAAUUCCUGGUGGAGCAGUGGAAUGCGCAGAUAUCAGGAGGAACACCAGUGGCGAAGGCGGUUCUCUGGGCCUUUCCUGACGCUGAGGAGCGAAAGCGUGGGGAGCGAACAGGCUUAGAUACCCUGGUAGUCCACGCUGUAAACGGUGGGUACUAGGUGUGGGGUCCAUUCCACGGGUUCCGUGCCGUAGCUAACGCUUUAAGUACCCCGCCUGGGGAGUACGGCCGCAAGGCUAAAACUCAAAGGAAUUGACGGGGCCCCGCACAAGCGGCGGAGCAUGCGGAUUAAUUCGAUGCAACGCGUAGAACCUUACCUGGGUUUGACAUGGAUCGGGAGUGCUCAGAGAUGGGUGUGCCUCUUUUGGGGUCGGUUCACAGGCGGUGCAUGGCUGUCGUCAGCUCGUGUCGUGAGAUGUUGGGUUAAGUCCCGCAACGAGCGCAACCCUUGUUCACUGUUGCCAGCACGUUAUGGUGGGGACUCAGUGGAGACCGCCGGGGUCAACUCGGAGGAAGGUGGGGAUGACGUCAAGUCAUCAUGCCCCUUAUGUCCAGGGCUUCACGCAUGCUACAAUGGCUGGUACAGAGAGUGGCGAGCCUGUGAGGGUGAGCGAAUCUCGGAAAGCCGGUCUCAGUUCGGAUUGGGGUCUGCAACUCGACCUCAUGAAGUCGGAGUCGCUAGCAAUCGCAGAUCAGCAACGCUGCGGUGAAUACGUUCCCGGGGCU